rnacentral:tRNA from 2 species
GCUGCCGUAGCUCAGUGGUAGAGCGCAUCCUUGGUAAGGCUGAGGUCAAGGGUUCGAUCCCCUUCGGCAGCACCA